rnacentral:lncRNA from 1 species
GAAAUGGCUGUUUUUCCAAUGAAAGCCUAUUCACCAUUUAAAGGGAUAGGACCCAGAUUCCGUUCCCUAUGGCUUCCACUAGUUGUGAACAGUCUUUAGACAUUGUUUCAGGCUUUUAUUCUGAAAAAUGAGGGAGAAUGACAACUUUGAGUGAGUGGAUAGUGGGAUGUCCCCAGAGAUGUUUUCUGCGCACGACUGAGAGCGCACCUUUCUUGUUUUUCUUUUAUAUUCACGACGCUAUUGUCCGGUUGAAAUAUUAUCGAUUAUUUAGGCUAAAAACAACCUGAGAAUUGAUUAUAAACAUCGUUUGACAUGUUUCUAUGAACUUUACAGAUACUAUUUGGAAUUUUCGUCUGCCUGUUGUGAACGCAUUUGAGCCAUUGGAUUACUGAACAAAACGCGCCAACAGAGUGGAGUUUUUUGGAUAUAAAGAGGGACUUUAUCGAACAAAACAAACAUUUAUUGUGUAACUGGGAGUCUUGUGAGUGCAACCAUACGAAGAUCAAAGGUGUAGUGGCAGAAGCAACAUUGGAGAACUGGGUGGCCAGGCAAAAAAAAACUAAGAAGAAGGGAGGGAAAUUGAGAGAGAAUAAUUAGUACUUCCCCAAAAAUGGACAGAUGGUUGGUGGCGCUUGGACCUGAGCCCUAGAACCAUGCCUCAGGACUAUCUGGCCUGAUGACUCUUUGCUGGCCCCAGUCCACCUGGCCGUGCUGUUGCUCCAGUUUCAACUGUUCUGCCUGCGGCUAUGGAACCCUGACCUGUUCACCGGACGUGCAACCUGUCCCAGACCUGCUGUUUUCAACUCUCUAGAGAUAGCAGGAGCGGUAGAGAUACUCUGAAUGAUCGGCUAUGAAAAGCCAACUGACAUUUACUCCUGAGGUGCUGACCUGUUGCACCCUCGACAACCACUGUGAUUAUUAUUAUUUAACCCUGCUGGUCAUCUAUGAACAUUUGAACAGCUUGGCCAUGUUCUGUUAUAAUCUCCACCCGGCACAGGACUGGCCACCACUCAUAGCCUGGUUCCUCUCUAGGUUUCUUCCUAGGUUUUGGCCUUUCUAGGGAGUUUUUCCUAGCCACCGUGCUUCUACACCUGCAUUGCUUGCUGUUUGGAGUUUUAGGCUGGGUUUCUGUACAGCACUUUGUGACAUCAGCUGAUGUAAGAAGGGCUUUAUAAAUACAUUUUAUUGAUUGAUUGAUUGUCAGACACCUGACAAUCUAGAUGCCUGAUACGUCAAACAGAGAAAGGAUACUGGUUGUAUAAUUGCACUGGGUUUCUGCAGUCGAGCUCUGUUAAAAGUUAUAUACACUACCCAGUUUUUCUACCAUGGAUAAGAGUAGAGUAUGGUGGGGAUUCCAAACUACAGAGGUAUUG